rnacentral:rRNA from 1 species
AUUGAACGCUGGCGGCAGGCCUAACACAUGCAAGUCGAGCGGUAGAGAGGUGCUUGCAUCUCUUGAGAGCGGCGGACGGGUGAGUAAUGCCUAGGAAUCUGCCUAGUGGUGGGGGAUAACGUUCGGAAACGGACGCUAAUACCGCAUACGUCCUACGGGAGAAAGCGGGGGAGUCUUCGGACCUCGCGCCAUUAGAUGAGCCUAGGUCGGAUUAGCUAGUUGGUGAGGUAAUGGCUCACCAAGGCGACGAUCCGUAACUGGUCUGAGAGGAUGAUCAGCCACACUGGGACUGAGACACGGCCCAGACUCCUACGGGAGGCAGCAGUGGGGAAUAUUGGACAAUGGGCGAAAGCCUGAUCCAGCAAUGCCGCGUGAGUGAUGAAGGCCUUAGGGUUGUAAAGCUCUUUUACCCGAGAUGAUAAUGACAGU